rnacentral:misc_RNA from 1 species
AGCAGCCGCGGUAAUUCCAGCUCCAAUAGCGUAUAUUAAAGUUGUUGCAGUUAAAAAGCUCGUAGUUGAAUUUCGGGAUUGGCGCAUCGGUCGUGCCUCACGGGGUAUGAACUGGUGCAGUCAAUUUCUCACCUUCUGGAGAACCGCGAUGUCCUUAAUUGGAUGCCGCGGGGAACCAGGACCUUUACUUUGAAAAAUUAGAGUGUUUAAAGCAGGCAUUUUUGCUUGAAUACAUUAGCAUGGAAUAAUAAAAUAGGACGGCAUGGUUCUAUUUUGUUGGUUUCUAGGACCACCGUAAUGAUUAAUAGGGAUAGUUGGGGGCAUUAGUAUUCAAUUGUCAGAGGUGAAAUUCUUGGAUUUAUUGAAGACUAACUACUGCGAAAGCAUUUGCCAAGGAUGUUUUCAUUAAUCAAGAACGAAAGUUAGGGGAUCGAAGACGAUCAGAUACCGUCGUAGUCUUAACCAUAAACUAUGCCGACUAGGAAUCAGACGAUGUUAAUU